CUCGACCGGGCCGGCCACGCCGCGCCGGGGCCGCGAGAGAAGGAGGAGGAGGGAAGAUGGUGGCGGCGGCCGCUGGCUGUAUCCCCACGUGCAGCUGGACGUAAUGCAGCUUUCUGUGGAUGUUGCAGCAGUGUGUUUGCGGAGAAAGUUAGUUUCAAUGGGUGAUGGUAAGUUUUUAUUUUCCAAUUUUUUUUUUUUUUAAGUAUAGGGGCAAUAGCAGUUCUUUUGAGGCUCAGGCAUAGACUUCAGUUAGGACUACUAAAUUCCAAAUAGUUCCUUGGGAUUGGAUGCAUGUGUAGCAGUCCAUAAUUUCACUCGUUUAGAGGGGAAUAAUCUAAGUUUCCCAAGCAAUCAUUUGUUUGAUAAAACAGUUUGACGGGAAGUUAUAAAAAUGUUUAGGUUUAGUGUCUUAGAUUUUUCUUUUCUUAUUUUAACUAAGCUCUUUUUGGUUGUUUAAGUUAGUCUAACAGAAGCUAGUUUUAUUGUAGUUUUAAAAUAUUGUGUUAAAUUUGCUGUAAGUAUCACAUGAGACAUUAUAUUUACAUGUUCCUUCAAGACUAUAUUCCUGUUAAAGGAGGAAUUAAAUACAUUUUCAAGUUUCUAAUAUAGUGCUGUCCUGCAUUAUUGAACCUCAGGUCUGUAAUAAGGUGUAAUUUGGUUGUGGUAGUAUAUUUUACAGCUAUCAUUAGAACCUGAUUUUUGUUGCUAGAUAGACUAAUUUAAAUGCCACGGUCAAAUUUGUUAUUUGAGAUCAAGGUGUCUGUGGCAGUAGCAGCAAAUAUUCUUAACUGGACAGCAAAGUGAGUAAUUGAAAAACGUAGAAAGAUACCUGGCACGUCAUAAGGUGGCUUCUGGACGUUAGAAAGCCAGUGGUAGGAUAUGUUGAAUCUAAUUUUUAAAUUCCUGGUUCUCUGGAAUUUGGGUGUAAACUUUUCAAAUAAAGAGAUUUGGUGGGAGCUCAUCACCAAAUUCAGGUUUGCCUUUAAAAAGUCAGGUAUUUUUAACUGUUACAGUUGUUGUGGCAUUCUGAAAAUAGUGUGGGAGAAGCAUUUUUUUAAUUUUCACAUUUGGGUCUUCUACUGUGAAUCAGAAUUGAUUUUGAUACUGCUUAGUAUUGCAUAGGAGUGUCCUGGAUUGGGCUGAUGGGUUGCUUCAGUUUACUCUGAAGGAGAUCUUUAGCCCAGAAAUGUGAAUAUUUGUUCCAAAGCUUGUAAUUCAAAACCUGAUCAAAUACUCACUUUGUUCUUUUCUUUCAGCAGGUACAAGGUAGACAACAUAUCUUGAAUUACUAAAAAAACGCUGUUUGCGUCAGAGUAAUGUCAAAGUGCUUACAGUGCAGGUAGUGAUAUAUAGAACCUACUGCAGUGAAGGCACUUGUAGCAUUAUGUUGACAACUGCCUCAGGAGAUCUUGCAGGACUUCAGAGAAUGGAAAGGUACAGUGUGGUGGUGUCAAGUGCUUUUUGUACUAAGGUGCAUCUAGUGCAGAUAGUGAAGUAGAUUAGCAUCUACUGCCCUAAGUGCUCCUUCUGGCAUAAGAAGUUAUGUCUUCAUCCAGUCACUCAGGUUGAGACUGUAGAUGUUCCAGUAGUUUUCUGCUUUGCAGACUUCUGUUAGUUUUGCAUAGUUGCACUACAAGAAGAGAGUGGUUGUGCAAAUCUAUGCAAAGCUGAUGGUGGCCUGUUAUAAUCUACAUCAAGGAGUUUGAAUGCUUUCUGCUGGUUAUGGGAUAUUUUGUGGCCUUCCUUAUUUUAACAGCAGUCUAGUGAAUGACAGCUCUUGUAGCACUAAAGUGCUUAUAGUGCAGGUAGUGUUCACUAAUCUACUGCAUUAUAAGCACUUAAAGUACUGCUAGCUGUAGAACUACAUGUUAAGUAUGUCUUACAAUUUAUUUGUUGUUUAUUGAACACUGUUCUCUGGUUAGUUUUGCAGGUUUGCAUCCAGCUGUAUGAUACUCUGCUGUGCAAAUCCAUGCAAAACUGACUGUGGCAGUGACAAGUCAGUCAGUGAGUGUGGAAAAAUUAUACCCCUUUCUACACAGGUUGGGAUCAGUUGCAAUGCUGUGUGUGUCUGUGGUAUUGCACUUGUCCCGGCCUGUUGAGGUUGGUGGGGAUAGAGGCUGAAACACCCUUGUAGCUUUAAGGAAUUUCUCCUUCACUGAUCCAUGAAAAUUUAAAUUUCUAAGAUUUUUUUUUUUUUUAAUGUCAUGUAAUUCUAUGUGUAACCACACUUGGAUUUUUUUUUUUGUAUUUGGCUUUUUGUUUGUAUGUAUUGGAUUUGUUGCUGACAGUAUGUAUUCACUGAAGUUUUUGAGUGGGGUUUUUUGUUUUUUUGUUGUUUUUUUUUUUUUCCCCCAAAGCUUAAUACUUUUCUAUUAAACUGAGGUGGAUGCUUGUUUGCAGUUUCUUCAUGACUUUGUUGGGAAAAGAUGGAUCUUGAGUAUCAAAAAAUCUGCAUGAAAGUUCAGACUUUUUCAGGAUAAGCUUACUUUGCGGAUGCAAAUUACGUGAAGGAUUCAGCAGCUUCCUUUUGUAAUGCUUCUUACUAUAUUGAAACUCUGCAUUUUCUAAAUGAUAAUGGGGUUCAUUUUCAGCCUUAGUUCUUCCAUCCAGAAUGUGUCAAAUUAAAGAGCAGCAAAUGAGGUUACAGGCAGAGCCUUAAUCAUUCAUCACCUAUGGAAUCUUUAAACAUGUCCACUUAACGUGGCGUGUCUAUAUUGAUGAGUGUAACAGUGGUCAGCUUGUAACCUUCUAAGUUAAUCACUUAGCAUGUGAUACAUAGCAAUGAAAUAAAGCAUCUCUUUAGCCUAAUGAAAAACAUACCUGGAGAAAAGCUCAUCCAGGUAUCUGCUUCAAAGAAGCUGAGAUUGGUUGUUAAAAAGAGAUAUAACUGGCUCUAUAAGGAUGGGUCACUAAAAUCUGGAAGUGGAGUAUUCAACAUAUCUUGCAUUGUUAAAUAAGCUGCAUAGUAGUAAACUACACUCGUAGCUCAAAUGUUAAUGGGUUUAGUUCUCAAACAGGGUUACAGAAGACUAAUGCUAUAAAUUCAAAUUACUCACUUUGCUGCUUUAAGCUGCCAGACCCUAUAUAGUUCUUAAAAGGAGAAUAGAGUUCCUUUGUGGUGGGAAAAUAUGGGUCAAUGCUGCCCUUGCUCUUCUUACUUCAAAUUCAUAUGAAAUGUGAAGCUUAAUGGGUCAUUCCUAAAGAGUGUUGAACACUGGGUAUUGCAGUGCUACCUCUCUAUAUUACUCUGUCCUCUUGCAAGAAGUUAUAAAUACAUAGAUGCCUAUGACACCCUUAAACUUCUUUCUGAAGGAACCAAGCCAUGGUGGACUUGUGCAUGCUGCUCAGUUUCCAGUGCUUUUGGUGUCUGUAUUCAGGAAGUACUGCUCAGAUAGGUUUCUUGCCCCAAAUACUCUAUUCCCAAGCUUAAAAUUCUCUUCUUAGUCUUGCUGAUUAGAGGAAGCUUGUGUCUGUGGAGUCAGCAGAUGAGGUGUGUGUCUUGUCCUGAUUUCUGGAUGCUCAGUUUCUGCAGUAAUCUGCUACUGAUUUAAGAUUUAACUCCUUAAAGUGUAAAAGCAGUAUUCUCAAAAGUUAAAAUGCAGAAAAUGUUUUAAUAUGUGAUCAUGUUUAUACUGCCAUGUAAGUAUCAAGUUUUGAAAUGCCUGAAGAUGUUUAUUAGUUGGACAAUGAAGCCUUCUAAAAUCAAGUGUUUGCACAAGGAAGUUUUAUGUCAGUGGAGCCUUGUCCAUUGAGUUUGUUGUAGUGUACCUAGUUUUAAUGCUUUUAUGUGAAAAUAAAAACUUCGUGGCAUUUUUUUGUGUUUCAUCCUAAAUUCUUUUAAUGCCUGGACUCCAAAAAAAUACUUUGUCAUAGUGCAGGUAUGAGAAAUGAUUUUGUAAUUUAAACAGCAUCUUCAAGAUGUAGUAAGCUCUGCUUUAUUCAAGAAGCAGUUAUGGCACUGCCUUUCUAAUACUAGUCUUACUUGGCAUGCCUUUAAUACAGCAUUGGCUUACUGGUUUUAGAACUUGAAAGUUUCAAGUUAGUCAUAUGCUCGUUUUGGAAAACAUCUUAAUAUUCUGUUUAUACUUUUACACUUUGAUAGGUAAUAAGUAAAUCCAAUCCUGUCUUACAUGAGGUUCUGUGUAAAUGGGGCUUUUCAGUCAUUUGAAUGUUUCCUCAUAAAUUAUCAUCAGCUCUGUACAUUGGUUGCAGUGUAGCUGAGACUGAAGUAGUUGACAGGAGACUGUAGGGAGAGAAGUAAUGCUGCUAAGUUCAGCUGGUUUUAUUUAAUCUUUGUCUUCAAUAUUCAUGUAGAAGAUGUGACUAAAGAGUGGUUAGAUGGCUGAAACAAGUGCCAGUUCUAAAUUCCUGAAGAAAUAUCAAGAGGCAUUUUCUGCAGAUAUAUUCAGCUUUUCUGUUAAAAAUGUCACGUGCGUGAGAAACAUAUUUCUAUUGGCUUUGAUACAGAUACUAAUUUUUACAGUGAGCUGUGAAUUAGUCUGAACCAUGCAAACUUUGGGAGAUUGGGUUAAUAAAGAUAAACCUUCGUGGAUUUUUAGGAAUUGUCUAAAAUCAAGUUAUUUUUUCAAAAUGCAUAUGCAGGAAGAGCAUUACUUACACUGUCUUUCUGAACAAAAAGUAAGAAAUUCCAAGCAGUAUUAACACUUCCUGUAGUCCUAGUAUAGCGCAGUUAGACUUAUAAGUAAUACCUUUUCUGUUAACCAUAGAAAAUUCUGUGUAUUUAGUAUCUGAAAGCAUGCUGGGAAAUAAAACAUUUUUCCACUAAUUUGUCACUGGGUGAUACUGAAAAAAACCAGCUCAGUUCUUUAGAAUUUACUUUCUUAUGCUGACAUUUGAAUAUCAAAACUGACUAGUGAGAUGACUGUCAGGCACAGACAUUUUGAGCUUGUUCAUAAGACAUUAAAUGAGCAGGACUAAAAAGGAGUCUCCCCUGCUGUGGUUGCACAGAGUUGGAUUUCUCUGGCAUAGCUGACUUUCUACCAUAGAAAAUAAAUGCAAUGCUCUAUGUUCUACAGUACAUCACUCAUAUUUUUGUAAUUCAUAAGUGGUCUUGUGUACAAAGUCUUGGCAAAGACUCUGCUUUCUUUAAAUCUGGAAUUAUAGGAAUUUGUUUCCGUGCCACUUCCCUAUCAUUCCUCAAUCAUAGAAUUCACUCCCUGAAGCUUUUUCUUUCUGGUCCUGGUAGCUUCAUGUGAAUAGGCUAAUAGCAUUCAGUGUGUGAAACACAGAUCCAGAAUAGGAAGGAGUGGACUGCAUCAUGUUCUGACUCCUCAUAGAAACCUUGCUAUAAAAUCUGCAGUUCUCUGAAGAGCCAGUUUCUGGCAAUUUCCUAUUUCUAUUUUUGGGUCAUGUCUAAAGGAAAAGAUACUGGAGGGAAAUAAGUGUGUGCUGCUAGAAUUUACUACAUCUCCAUUUACUUCAUCUGUUCUGAUGGGUAUCUGCUGUGCACUUGUAUCUGUGUAGCAUCUGUCUAAUGAUAGAGCAGGAGAAGUGUUGAAGCAGGCACCUGUUAAUGUGUAUGGGAAUUGUCUGGAGUCUGAGAUGAUGCAUGCAUUCCCACCCUGCCAUUGUUGUGUGCUCCACAUUCUGAAACUCCGAAUGCAGUAUAAACAGGACAAACAAAAAGUUGCAUACAUUCAUUCCAAUAGAGUAAUACAAGACACUUUAUUCCACAGCCAGUUGGGUUCUUGGUGGGAGGAAACUGACUAGUAGGUAAAGACUGAGAGGUUCAUUUUAUAACUCAUUCUGGAUUUUUCACUGCUGUAAAAAAGACAAAACUACUAAAGCUAGUGUAGCAUUUCAUUCUUACUGUUAAACAAAACUUAACUUUGCCUGGUUCCUCUUUUAAAUGGGUGAACAAUUCUGUGAAUUUUGGGCUCAAGUGUUGGGGUAUUGGGUGUUUUUAUUGGGAUGGGGUGUGAUGUUGGGGUUUCUUCAUUUCUGCACUUAGCUUUCUAGACUGACACGACUAGGAUGCAUUAUUCUAGUCUUAAAUGCCCAAUGUUCAAACAUAAAAUGCUUGAUCAAAAAAUUUAUCACUAAAUAAUUUCGGGCUCUGGGAGAGUGAGUCAGGUUCUUCACAUUGGUAGCAAACUACACCCAAAGCUGUAAAUGCAAAUAGUUGUGACUUAGGUAGCCUUCAGUGGCAUUUUAUGACUCAAGGAGAUUAGCACUUGAAGGACCCAUUCCUUCGAGCAUUACAAAUUUGUACCAGGUUCAGACAUCCACUUUAGCUGAGGGAGGCAAUCUCCCUAGUUAAUUAAAGGAGGAAAAAAAUGGCUUUUACAUGUGGCCAACAUACUUUGCAUGGAACAAUUUUGAUGCGAGUUCUGUAAACAACAGGCUGAGACUUCGAAGUGAAGAAAUGCUUACUUGGGUGAUUGGUGUUUGGGUAGUAUCUGGGAUUCAGACUGGUUUUGGUUACUGUGGGCUGACCCAGCUAAUUAAUGCCUGGCUAUCAAUGUAUAGCUGGAAUUAAUGGGGUAGUGUUUGGGAAAAAAAAAAAAAAAGUCUUGUGGAUGCUUAAGAUUAUUAUGCAAUAAUCUAUAUUGUAGUCAGUGCAACAUACAUCUCGUGAUUUAGAAGUGUGUUGGAGGAAUAUGACCUACAGGUAAGUGGUAGCUAGUCAUGCCCCACUUUUAAUAGAAAAAUGUAGGCCUGUUUCCUCUUGGAAAUAGUGUGAUACUCCCUGGGAGGUGGAAGGUGAUCAAGGAAGCAAGUAAAGGAAGGGAAGAUGAAAAAGCUGAAUAGAUGGUAAAGAGUAGCAUGACUUUGGUUACUUAAUCUGUUUUGUAUGCUCUGGAUGCUGCUGUGACCAACAAGAAUGUUAGAGCAACUGUCCUGCUGUGGGACAUGUCAGCAGUAGGACGGAAAUGAUCAGGAAUAUAACAAUGGAUAAGAUGCACAACAAUGAGGAAUCUCUUGGGUGACAUGUUAUAGAAUCUUUAAAAGAUUCCAGAUACCCCCAUCUUCUAUGUGUAUUUAUGGCAGUCCUUUUUCCUGCUGCAGAAGAAAUUAACUAGUUCCUGUUUAUUGUACUUUAUACAGAGAGAAAGCUACUUUUACUGUUGCAGAGAACUGGCAUUUUUCUAGUUACUUCUGUAAUUCUUUAACUGUCCUCUCUGCAGAGAUGUAAAAUAUAAGCACUUAGGAAGUAGAGUCACUAGUUAGUUGUUUUGAUAUAUGUGUAUCAUUUUAUUUUCUCAGUCCAUACUACUUUUGCAAAGGCCUGUGUUUUAUGUGGGAAAUAACACUGUAGUUCCUGCAUAUUACUGUAAUAAUUGGAAAUAAAAGAUAUUUGUGUUAAACCUUGUAAAA